CAUAUGAUAUGAUAUGCGUAUGAAGCGAUGAUGAAAACAUCGUCAUAGAGCUUGCUCGUGGCCGCAGAAGAGAAAACCCUAACAACGGAGGAAGACGAAAGAGAAGAGGACCGACCCGUUAUCACCCGAUCCGACCCGUAUCUACCUGGUACGUCUCUGUCCUUCCUGGUUUUACUCUGUCAAUUAGUGUUUAUUCCAUUCGCAAGAUUCAUCUGUUUUGUUAUUUAUUGAAUCAUUGAGCAAGCACUUGAAAAUCGAUCACAUCUCUUAAAUUACAUUUUUGCUUUUAUCUUUCUCCUAAAAAUUUCAUGGUCUACAGUGGUACGUCUCUGUCCUUCUUGGUUUUACUUCGCCAAUUAGUGUUUAUUCCAUUCGCAAGAUUCAUCUGUUUAUUAUUUAUUUAAUCAUUGAGCAAUCACUUAAAAGUUGAUCGCUUCUCUUAAAAUUACAUAUUUGCUUUUAUCUUCCUCCUAAAAAUUGCAUAUUUUACAACACUUUCGUGUCUUUGUAUUCGCAUAUGCAUGAGUUUAAUUUUGUAAGUUUGUCUUAUUCGUAAUAGCUUUACUAUUGUCACAUGGGUGAAGUUUGAAUCGCUGCAAGUACUUUUGUAAGUUUAUGUAUAAUCUUUUGCUUCUUGUUUGAUCAUCUAAUACCUGAAAAAUUAAUGAUUUUUUUUUUUUUUUUUGGUGAAACCAUUUAGUUUUACUCUGCCUGUUUAUUUCGUUGUUCUUUUCGUAAGUGUUCGGUUCAUUCUUGACUUUGUGGUUCUUUUCAUUUUCCUCCUAGUAUGAUCGAAUUUUUUAAAUUAUUGUCAAGUCUACUCAUUGAUAAUUUUGAUUGUUGAAGAUUGAUUUUCCCGUCAAUAGGAUGGUAUUCAUGGUUUGUUAGCUGAUGGUUUCCACAAGGUCAUCCAUAGUGUGUUGUUAAAA
rnacentral:lncRNA from 1 species